rnacentral:hammerhead_ribozyme from 1 species
GCACUGAUGAGCGGUCCUACAAUAGGACGAAACGGCCGUCCAGUGC